UACGUAGGGUGCAAGCGUUAAUCGGAAUACUGGGCGUAAAGCGUGCGCAGGCGGUGAUGUAAGACAGUUGUGAAAUCCCCGGGCUCAACCUGGGAACUGCAUCUGUGACUGCAUCGCUGGAGUGCGGCAGAGGGGGAUGGAAUUCCGCGUGUAGCAGUGAAAUGCGUAGAUAUGCGGAGGAACACCGAUGGCGAAGGCAAUCCCCUGGGCCUGCACUGACGCUCAUGCACGAAAGCGUGGGGAGCAAACAGGAUUGAGAAACCCCAGUAACGUC
rnacentral:rRNA from 1 species